GACGAACGCUGGCGGCGUGCCUAAUGCAUGCAAGUCGCACGGGCGCCCUUUGGGGCGUCAGUGGCGGACGGCUGAGGAACACGUGGGUACCUGCCUUCCUGUGGGGGACAACACCGCGAAAGCGGUGCUAAUCCCGCAUACGCUUGUAAGAGGAAAGCGGCAACGCGCAGGAAGAGGGGCUCGCGGCCCAUCAGGUCGUUGGUGCGGUAACGGCGCACCAAGCCUUUGACGGGUAGCUGGUCUGUGAGGACAGACAGCCAGACUGGGACUGAGAAACGGCCCAGACUCCUACGGGAGGCAGCAGCAAGGAAUUUUCGGCAAUGGGCGCAAGCCUGACCGAGCAACGCCGCGUGCAGGAUGACGGCCUUCGGGUUGUAAACUGCUUUUUCGGGGGAUGAAUUGGACAGUACCCCGGGAAUAAGGCUCGGCUAACUCUGUACCAGCAGCCGCGGUAAAAC
rnacentral:rRNA from 1 species